rnacentral:rRNA from 1 species
UACGGACGGGGCAAGCGUUGUUCGGAAUCAUUGGGCGUAAAGGGCGCGCAGGUGGCUCUGUAUGUCUGCCGUGAAAGCAUACAGCUCAACUGUAUUGUGUCGGUAGAAACUGCAGGACUUGAGGCUGGGAGGGGCUGGUGGAAUUCCCUGUGUAGCGGUGAAAUGCGUAGAGAUGGGGGAGAACACUCGUGGCGAAGGCGGCCAGCUAGACCAGUUCUGACACUGAGGCGCGACAGCGUGGGGAGCGAACAGG